rnacentral:rRNA from 1 species
AUGGGUUUUAGUCCCACACCGGACCCCUCCUUGUCUACCUCAAUCCAUGCCCUUCCCAUGCAGAUCGUGCCAUCGAGUUGCGGCGGCCCAGUCCUGCCUCUCAAGUUGAUGCGGCGACAGUGGCGGUGGUAUCGACAGCUGGGCUUGGAACCCCCUGACAUCACCGGCGGCAGGCAUAGAUCCAGCUCCAUCCAGUGGUGA